rnacentral:rRNA from 1 species
GCAGGAAACCAAGUCUUAAGAGGGCCAGAGUCAGUAGGAGUAGACCCGAAACCGGGUGAUCUAUCCAUGUCCAGGUUGAAGCU